UUGAAAGGCGCAGGCGACUGUACAGCCUCGAUAAGCGCUGGAAGGCCAGCAGUUGAAGUCGUUCGUUGACUUCAGCGGAUGGACUGAAGCGACUCAAGAGGCUAGGAGCCGGAGCUGGACAACGUUAAGAACGAUUACUCGGAUUACUUCUUCUUAUCUACAUUAUCUAGUUUUGAGGGAAUAAAAAAUUUCCUCUUGCAAAUUAAAAAUAAAGCAUUAUAAUAGAAAAUGUCUUUGAAAAUUGUCUGGCGGCGAUGGCGAGAAGGUCACACCCGUUCCCAUGCCGAACACGGAAGUUAAGCUUCUCAGCGCCGAUGGUAGUUGGGGGUCUCCCCCUGUGAGAGUAGGACGUUGCCAGGC
rnacentral:rRNA from 1 species